CCAAUCAGAGCUCUGUUACCAGGCAGAGCCUCUCUCCGGCUCUGGUCACUGUCAUCCUAGCUGUCCAGACACCCUUUUGCAAUUUUUGUUUGAAUUGAUUUUUUUAAAAGCACCUGAUAUAUACUUUUCUUCUUAUUCUUCUCCUUCUAGUCCUCUAUUCAAGGCCCACCACAGAGACACAGGAAUGGAACUCAGAAUCACAAACAAAGAAACCUCGGUCCAAGAAAGAAAAUGAUCUUUAAAAAGACCCUCGUUUCAUGCUUGCCGAUGCUGAGACAAUCGGCUCUGGAGGAUAUUUGGAGACACCGAUUAAAAGAAAUGUGGCAGCCCAAGACCCAAGCAAGGAUAGGAUUUCCCAGACAUUCCCGAGGGAGACAAUCCCAUGUGCUUUCCUUCUGAUGUCACAUCAGAAUCUGAAGGCUGCUAGAGAAGGGAGAGGCACAUGCAAGUGCAUCCCAUGCUGAUUGUUGUUGAAAUACCUGGAAAGAAACUGGCAAAGACUAUCCAAGAGCCAAGGAGCAUCAACAUUUGGCUUCAGAAAUGCUGCUAAAUCCUGAAUAAACAAGAGUGAACAAGCAAGGGAAAUUAGCUGUCAUGUGAGGAUACUCAAACAGUUUAUAAAGAGGUUCAUGUGGCAAGGAAUGGAGGCCUCCUGCCAACAGCCAUGUAAAGGAGCCAUCUAGGAAACAGAUUCUCCAGCCCCAGUCAGACCUUCAGAUAAUUACAGCCCCUACCAAUAUUCUGACUGCAGUGGAAGGAAAGACCCUGAACUAGAACCACCCAGCUGGCAGAGAUUCCUGGUCUUGCUCUCUACCUCUCUGGCCUAUGCCCCAGUGACAUGCCCCUGGUGCCUGCAGGACAUUUUGCUUUUGAAGAGAACACCUAUUGUUCUGAAAGAUGGCAGAACUUCUACAUGACUGAGGAACUUCUGUGUUGCAGAUUAACAGAAUUAAUAGAAAGCCAGGUCAAACUGGCUUAAGAAAAAACAAAAACAAACAACCAAAAAACCUGGUAGCCAGUGCUUCACAUAACUGAGAAGUCCAGGACUGUAGAUUAAUGCAAGGGUUCAGAAAUGCAGUAACCAAGAUGGAGGCUGCCUGCUGCUCAAGUUGCCAGAUUUAGCAAAUAAAAACAGAGCAUACACAGUUAAAUUCACAUUUUAUAUAAAUAAUGAACAACUUUUUUGUAGUAUAAACAUGUCCCUGUACUGCUUUCUCUAUUUUAUUGGACAACUCUACCUGCUACCAUAUGUCAGCUCUCUCCUUCCUGUGUUGAGAUUACUCUCUGGCAGGCUCUGGGCAUGAGACGACAGAAUGGUAUCCCUACAGAUACAUUUCAAGGCUUAGGGACCAUUGAAGAAGAGCUUCUCUUUCCCAAGAGUUCCAGCAAAAAUCCUAGGGUUGUAUCUCAUUGAUCCAGCUUGGGUCUUGUGGCCACCUGGGAAGCAAACACUCUGUCAAAGGAGGUGAAAUGCAAGGUAGGUCUGCACCAUACAUCUACCUCUACAACUAGGGUGUAGAUUUAGCCCCAUCCAAACCACUUGAAUGAAGACUGGGGAGAAGUGUUUCCCAGAAGAAACCCAGAGUGAUGUUACUAGGAGAAGACAGAUGGAUAAUAGCCAGACAUUGACUCCAUGGUUAAAUGGUGAAUAUCCUCUUAGGGCCAGGCUCCCUGGAGCUCUUCACAUCACACGUUGACUGCUUAGCAACUGAUGUGGGUCACAUCCCUUGGUUUUGGUCCCAGAGGGUGAUUUUGGACAAUGGAAGGCAAUUUAGAUAGCCCCUGAAUUAACAGUAAAGAUAGUAAAAACAAAACAAACAAACAAAAUUAUCUAGUACCUUUUCUGUGUGAACUGUGAUACCCAAUGUGAGUCCUACACAAAGAUAGGAAAGAAGACAUGGCUGUUGUCCAGAACUUACAUUCUGGUGAGAGGCAUCACAUUGUACCUUGUUAUAGAGUCUCAUGAUACUUUCCUUGUUUCUACCUCUAAGUAAUUAUGAAUCUACAGAGGAAGAAUAAAUUAAUCCCAGGUAAGGCUUACUGAAGGAGAUGCAUUUGGGCUGGACCUUACAGAAAGAGUUUAGAUAGGCAGCUAUAGAGGGAAGAAAGAGAAAAAUUCCAAACAGAGGAAGUAGAAUAAGAAAACCUGUUGAUUUCAGGCUGCUGCACCCACACUGGGCCGCAUUGCCUUUCAAAGAGAUGCACCUUGAUGUGGACACUUGACUUUACCCGGGGCCAGAGAAACAUUAGAGAAUGCCAGGAAAAUAAAUAAUCUGAUACUCUGAACACUCCUUCAAAUGCUUGUUCAGAGUUAAUUUGUAGAGAAAGCUGAGUGACAUAGGAGAAAAAGAAAAGGAGAAAGACCCUUGGGUGGGACACUCAGUCCGUUUUCUAUUGUCCUUGGUAAUUCCACUCUGGCCCCAUAUUUGCAUUAUCCAUUCAUGAAACAAAAGACCUUGAGUCAAAUGGACUCAUCUGUUUUAGUUAUCCAAUAUCCAGGGUUAGUUAAGCCUAACCUUUGGAGGAAGGAGGGUGUCACCUCCUUGUCCCUAAGUGACUUCAUUUUCCCUCUAAGCAUUUAUAGUACUAUUCCUGAGAGUCAUUCUGGUAGGUUCUAUUUUUUCCAUCUCACAUUGCCAGAAUAUUUUCUUUCACUGGUGCAUUUAGCAGGAUGGCUGGCCUUUUCCUCCAACUCUGACACCACUCCAAAGGGUGCAAGCUUGAAAAAUGCUUUGCCCCUCUUCUCCAUGGUUCUCUGAGUGUGGUUUUCAGAGGCGAUAUGAACAUAUGUCAUCAGAGCAUGUAGUCAAAUACCACAUAGAGUGUGAGGCUUUCUCCAGAAUGGUGCUUUUUUGGGGUGUUUUUUUAAAACACAACCCCCCGCUGUAUUGCAGUAAGGAUCCCUUAAUGAAAUGAACUGGAAUAUGUGGUUCUAGAAAAAAAAAAAAAAGAUGGGAAUGGAGAAAAAAACUAUCUAGAAAAAAAAAAA